CAUCCAAGUCUACUAGGGAAACUUUAUCAACCCUCCCUUUGUGUGUGGAAACAUUAGCUUGUGCGCAUAGUGGAGUCUGGAAUGUUUCAUUUAAGUUUAAUGUUAUUGUGAAAUCUUUGUUCAAGAUUAUAGAUAUCUCACUAAAAGAUAGCUUCCUGUAUCAUGUGAAAUUCUAGUUUGAAUGCAGGGAAUUCAGAGAAUCAAUCCUGGGAGCCAUGCCACAUCACUGGGAUAGGAGAGAAGAUACUUUGUCGAAGCUAGCUCACUUCAGCCGCAACAAGAGGAAAGCAUUGAAGAAGACACCAGGAAAAACUACAAAUUAGCCUUUUCACAAGCCUAAGGAAAAUCAUCCUUCAGGGAAGGACUCAACCCAGAAAAAUUCAAACAUAAUUGGGAAAGCAGCAAAUUUUGCGGGUUCGGCAAAAUCUAGAAAUGUUAACUACAAAUCAUGUCAUGUAACUGCUAAUCAUUCAUUUAAUACACAAAUGGGCAACAAUUAGCAAUAUAUCCUUCACCAUGUAUGCAACAAAGCAAAAAGCUAUACAAGUAGAUUCAGGAGACUUCAAAGCCAAACCAGGUAUUGUUAGCAAUAUAUCCUUCACCAUGUCUGAUACUAUCCAACAAAGCAAAAAGCUAUACAAGUAGAUUCAGGAGACUUCAAGCCAAACCGGAGCUAACAUGGAAGAUUUUUGGUCUUGGCAUUUUUGAUUGCCUCCUCAAGCCCAUCUAUUUCCUUUUUACCAUUUUUUAACAAAUCCUCUAAAAUUAACUUUUGUAAUCUCAAGCCAUUGAUUUUUUCAUCUAAUGUUGACCAGUAAGAAAACAAACAGCAAUCAGUAUUUUUAUUUUUUUCCUAAUAGUAAACAUUUAACUCAUUUAUAUUUUCCACAACAUAGAAUCAAUUGAAAUUAUAAAUAUACCAAAUUAUAUACAAUCAAAAUAAAAUUGAAGGAUAUAUUGCUAAUUGUGUAUGGGUAUGUAUUUCAUCUCUGUUGGUCUCUAGGAUUCAGAACUGAUAUAGUUCCCCUUUUUUCCUAAUCUGAUAUCGUUACCCUUCUGUUUUUUUCUUCCCUGAUCCUGAUGUAGAAGAUGGCUGAGGUUUGGCACCGGACAUUGUUCCUUAAAUGGUGGAUGCUGGCUGGGUGCUCAUACUCGAUUUGGGUUUUCCUGCAAAUUUUCAGAUUUGGUGCACCUAUGCUCUGGGAUUAUGGGGUUCCAGUUUGUGCAUUGGUGUCGUUCUUCUACGUUGUUCUUGAUUGUGCAGAAGAGGGGAAGGUAAGCAACACAUCAAGGAAAAUGACGCCCUUGCCGAGAACCGCGACAGGAUCAAUGAGCAAGCUGAUUCUCCACCUCUGGUGGCUUCUCUGCCUUCGAUACCAGCAUGGAUUCAGGGUGAAGAGGAGCACAGCGGUGUAUCCGACAAGUCGUCCUUUUCCUCCUCUGAUUCUCGCCAUUGAUGGGAACGUAUGAGAUCCAAACUUUACUUCUCCAGGUUUUAGCAUGGUUUAAAAUUACCUGUUUAUGUGAGCCCUUUCAUUUAUCCUUUUUGCUGAAAAGGAUCAUGCCCAGUUGUAGAAAACAUAAUGGAUGAACCCCAGUGAAAAUUUCAUUUAGGUACCUUCUUUUUCACUCACGUUCAUCAAGUUUCUAUUUUGCUCACAUGUUUUGCUUCAUGAGCAGGGAUGGGUUACCUUUACUUGCAGUGGUAUUUUUUGUGUGUUUUUUUUAGUGCAAUGGUCAUUCUUAGUGUUUUUUUAUGGUCAUUCUUAGUGCUGAAAAGGAUCUUGAUGUGUGGGUGUGUAUCCUAUUUUUGCUUCUUUUCUUUUUUCUUUGUUUUGUCCCACAUUUAUUCAUUGAUCUUUGGCUUUUUUAAAAAAAAUUACUGUAUAAAAUUUGGAAGCAAAACACAAGAAAAUCGUGUUGAAUAUUGUCACACUUAUUCCUAAUGAAUAAAGUUAAGGCGCUUAUUGAGUUCAAAAAAAAAAAGAAAAAAGUUAAGGCGCUUAUUUAGGCAAUUUGUGAGAGUGAAUUAUAAAUGAAUUUAGUAUUUGAAAAUAUCAGGUUGUUUAUAUUUUCUCAACCAAGUUCUUUAUUGACAGUGACAAUUGGACUUGAUUUUUAAAUUUAAUGUUGAAUUAAAAAAAUACAAAAUUAACCAAAACUCCUUCAAAAAGUACAACCUAACACUCCUAAUUCCUAAACCGAGUCCAAUUACAUAUCCCCGUGACCAUCUACAAAAUAAUCCCAAGCAACAUAUAACCCCUCUCCCCAGUAUCCAGAAGUCACACUAACACAUCCACCAACACCACGACCCGAAGCCAGCAAAUAUAGCGAAUAAAGUUUCAUACCCAUUCCUGAUUAACCACCACCAUCUCAUAUGAAGAAAAGAUACAAUGAGUUAUGUGAUAGAUUAUAUAAAAACAUAAAUUAGUGUGUGAAUAAAUCAUAACUCAACUCAAUAUAACAUGACAAAAUUUGGAAGCAAAACACAAGAAUGAAUCAUUUAACCAAAAAAAAAAAAGAGAAAAUCAGUUAUUAAAAAAUUAAAAGUAAAACAAAAAUAAAAUAUGUUGAUUGUUACUAGGUUUCGUCUAGAACUCUUUCAACCUAUCCAUCAUUACCCUAAUUUUCUUUAGGGGUUGACAAAGAGUACCGGCACAAAAGACACACUUGAUUGAUUAGCAACCAAGUUGAAAUACAAUCAUAAUGAAACAAGUGACCAUGACCACAUGCCAUUGAUGAGUACCAUUCCUUAUUUUUGUCAUCAGCAUUAUCAUCAUCGCCACCACUUACAUGAAUC